AAUAUAAUACUAACAUAAAAACAAACACAUAAACCAAUAAAACAAAAUAAAAAACCCAAAAAUAAAUCCACGCACAUAUAAACACCUUAUCUUUAACAAAAAAAACAAAAAUAUACAAUAAAUUAAAAACAAUCUCUUUAACAAAUAAUACUAAAAAAACUAAUCAACCACUUAUAAAAAAAUAAAACUAAAACACUUUCUAACACCAUACACAAAAAUAAACUCAAAAUAAAUUAAAAAUCUAAACAUAAAACCAAAAACUAUAAAACUCCUAAAAAAAAACAUAAACAAAACACUCUCUAACAUACAUCACAACAAAAUCCUCUAUAACCCACCUCCCAAAAUAUUAAAAAUAAAAACAAAAAUAAACAAAUAAAACCUAAUUAACCUUAAAAACUUCUA
rnacentral:misc_RNA from 1 species